UGCCUUGUAGUGUAAUGGUAGCACAUCAGUUUCUGGCACUGCUUGUCUGGGUUCGAAUCCUUGCAAGGCAACAA
rnacentral:tRNA from 2 species